CCGACAUCUAUUUUGCAAUGAGAUUAUUAUACGUGUGAUUGUUGUUGUGUUGCUGCUGUUGUUGUUGCUUUUUGUGGCUUUUUGUCAUCAUAUUACAUUAUUUGAGGUUUAAAGGGAUUGUGGAUAUUUUUGACGAGGUAAAAGUUAUCUCGUGGAAGUGGAGUGUGGAGAGAUUGAAAAUAGCCCCGUGUCUUUUUUACGAAUGGUUGUGGGAGCCCGGUAUUUGUUUCAAUAGUGGUUAGUGUUUCAGUUUUGGAGUGGGGCGCUGUUUUUGCUUUCCGUGUUUCUGUUUUUUAGUUCCUUUGCUGGGCUGUUUGUUUCUUUUUUUUUUCUGGUUUGGCAGACUGCCUCCCUUUUGGUUUUGAGGUGGGUGCUUUAGUUCUCCUUGAGGUGAAGCCCCUCCUCUGCUUGUACUUCUUGCUUGUUCUCUUUAGUUCUCCUUUAGUUCCUCCUGCUGUAUCUGUUAGUAAUUGGAAUUGGAGUUAGUUUUCAGCAGAGAAAAUCUGAGUUUGUAAUUGGCUGCCCUCAUGAGUUAAUUUUUAGGUAUUGUGCAAAGGCUUAAUUUUUAGUUUCUUUGUAAUUUGACUUGUUGUGUAGUGGAUUUUGCACACCUUGUGCUCAAUUCACUCCUUAUGUAGACCUUUGUAAUUAAUUUGAUACCUUGUGUAGUGGAUUUAUACAAAAUGAAAUUUUGGGCGCCAAAAUAUUUCUUAAUGAAGCAGAGCGAAAGUUCGAAUU